rnacentral:rRNA from 1 species
UACGUAGGGUGCAAGCGUUGUCCGGAAUCAUUGGGCGUAAAGCGCGCGUAGGUGGCUUCGUAAGUCCGUUGUGAAAGUCAAAGGCUCAACCUUUGAAUGCCGAUGGAUACUGCGAAGCUAGAGUACGGAAGAGGAGAGUGGAAUUCCUGGUGUAGCGGUGAAAUGCGCAGAUAUCAGGAAGAACACCCGUGGCGAAGGCGGCUCUCUGGGACGGUACUGACGCUGAGACGCGAAAGCGUGGGGAGCGAACGGG